rnacentral:lncRNA from 1 species
UGGGUGGAUUUGGCAGAACCGAGUCGGUGCCCUGGCGGCGCUGCCACGGUCCCCCCGCAGCGGUUUUUCCCCGUCCUUCUCCCUCUCUUUUCAGCUCGGUUCCUACCCCAGGUUGCGGGAGGAGACGGAGCGGAUCGUCACCACCCACAUCCGGGAGCGCGAGGGCAAGACCAAGGACCAGAUCCUGCUGCUGAUCGACAUCGAGCUCUCCUACAUCAACACCAACCACGAGGAUUUCAUCGGAUUUGCCAACGCGCAGCAGAGGAACACGCAGACCAACAAGAAGAGGGCGAUUCCCAACCAGGGGGAGAUCCUGGUGAUCCGCAGGGGCUGGGUGA